AGGACGAACGCUGGCGGCGUGCUUAACACAUGCAAGUCGAGCGGAAAGGCCCUUCGGGGUACUCGAGCGGCGAACGGGUGAGUAACACGUGAGUAAUCUGCCCCUAGCUCUGGGAUAGCUCCGGGAAACCGGGAUUAAUACCGGAUACGACCACUUUAGACAUCUGUUGUGGUGGAAAGAAUUUUGGCUAGGGAUGAGCUCGCGGCCUAUCAGCUUGUUGGUGGGGUAACGGCCUACCAAGGCGACGACGGGUAGCCGGCCUGAGAGGGCGACCGGCCACACUGGGACUGAGACACGGCCCAGACUCCUACGGGAGGCAGCAGUGGGAAUAUUGCGCAAUGGGCGAAAGCCUGACGCAGCGACGCCGCGUGGGGGAUGAAGGCCUUCGGGUUGUAAACCCCUUUCAGCAGGGACGAAGCGAAAGUGACGGUACCUGCAGAGAAGCGCCGGCUAACUACGCGCCAGCAGCCGC
rnacentral:rRNA from 1 species